rnacentral:rRNA from 1 species
GACGAACCGUGCGAACGUUGUUCGGAUUCACUGGGCUUAAAGGGCGCGUAGGCGGGUCGCUAAGUCCGGGGUGAAAGCCCCCAGCUUAACUGGGGAAGUGCCUCGGAUACUGUCGGCCUCGAGGGGGAUAGGGGCCCGCGGAACUUCGGGUGGAGCGGUGAAAUGCGUUGAUAUCCGAAGGAACGCCGGUGGCGAAAGCGGCGGGCUGGAUCCCUUCUGACGCUGAGGCGCGAAAGCCAGGGGAGCAAACGGG